rnacentral:rRNA from 1 species
AACGAACGCUGGCGGCAUGCCUAACACAUGCAAGUCGAACGAACCCUUCGGGGUUAGUGGCGCACGGGUGCGUAACGCGUGGGAAUCUGCCCUUUGCUUCGGAAUAACAGUUAGAAAUGACUGCUAAUACCGGAUAAUGUCGCAAGACCAAAGAUUUAUUGGCAAAGGAUGAGCCCGCGUAAGAUUAGCUAGUUGGUGGGGUAAUGGCCUACCAAGGCGACGAUCUUUAGCUGGUCUGAGAGGAUGAUCAGCCACACUGGGACUGAGACACGGCCCAGACUCCUACGGGAGGCAGCAGUGGGGAAUAUUGGACAAUGGGCGAAAGCCUGAUCCAGCAAUGCCGCGUGAGUGAUGAAGGCCUUAGGGUUGUAAAGCUCUUUUACCAGGGAUGAUAAUGACAGUACCUGGAGAAUAAGCUCCGGCUAACUCCGUGCCAGCAGCCGCGGUAAU